UUACCAUGCAGUCGAACGGUGAACACGGAGCUUGCUCUGUGGGAUCAGUGGCGAACGGGUGAGUAACACGUGAGCAACCUGCCCCUGACUCUGGGAUAAGCGCUGGAAACGGCGUCUAAUACUGGAUAUGUGACGUGAUCGCAUGGUCUGCGUCUGGAAAGAAUUUCGGUUGGGGAUGGGCUCGCGGCCUAUCAGCUUGUUGGUGAGGUAAUGGCUCACCAAGGCGUCGACGGGUAGCCGGCCUGAGAGGGUGACCGGCCACACUGGGACUGAGACACGGCCCAGACUCCUACGGGAGGCAGCAGUGGGGAAUAUUGCACAAUGGGCGCAAGCCUGAUGCAGCAACGCCGCGUGAGGGAUGACGGCCUUCGGGUUGUAAACCUCUUUUAGCAGGGAAGAAGCGAAAGUGACGGUACCUGCAGAAAAAGCGCCGGCUAACUACGUGCCAGCAGCCGCGGUAAUACGUAGGGCGCAAGCGUUAUCCGGAAUUAUUGGGCGUAAAGAGCUCGUAGGCGGUUUGUCGCGUCUGCUGUGAAAUCCGGAGGCUCAACCUCCGGCCUGCAGUGGGUACGGGCAGACUAGAGUGCGGUAGGGGAGAUUGGAAUUCCUGGUGUAGCGGUGGAAUGCGCAGAUAUCAGGAGGAACACCGAUGGCGAAGGCAGAUCUCUGGGCCGUAACUGACGCUGAGGAGCGAAAGGGUGGGGAGCAAACAGGCUUAGAUACCCUGGUAGUCCACCCCGUAAACGUUGGGAACUAGUUGUGGGGUCCAUUCCACGGAUUCCGUGACGCAGCUAACGCAUUAAGUUCCCCGCCUGGGGAGUACGGCCGCAAGGCUAAAACUCAAAGGAAUUGACGGGGACCCGCACAAGCGGCGGAGCAUGCGGAUUAAUUCGAUGCAACGCGAAGAACCUUACCAAGGCUUGACAUAUACGAGAACG
rnacentral:rRNA from 1 species